AUCUGGAGCAAAAUCCAAAAAAGACAGUCUCAGUUCGGAUUGAAGGCUGAAAUUCGCCUUCAUGAAGCCGGAAUUGCUAGUAAUGGCAGGUCAGCAUACUGCCGUGAAUACGUUCCCGGGCCUUGUACGCACCGCCCGUCACACCAUGAGAGUUGGGAAUACCCGAAGCCUGUGAGCUAACUUUUAGAGGCAGCAGUCGAAGGUAGAAUCAAUGAUUGGGGUGAAGUCGUAACAAGGUACC
rnacentral:rRNA from 1 species